AGUGAACGCUGGCGGUAGGCCUAACACAUGCAAGUCGAACGGCAGCACAGUAAGAGCUUGCUCUUACGGGUGGCGAGUGGCGGACGGGUGAGGAAUACAUCGGAAUCUACUUUUUCGUGGGGGAUAACGUAGGGAAACUUACGCUAAUACCGCAUACGACCUACGGGUGAAAGCAGGGGAUCUUCGGACCUUGCGCGAUUGAAUGAGCCGAUGUCGGAUUAGCUAGUUGGCGGGGUAAAGGCCCACCAAGGCGACGAUCCGUAGCUGGUCUGAGAGGAUGAUCAGCCACACUGGAACUGAGACACGGUCCAGACUCCUACGGGAGGCAGCAGUGGGGAAUAUUGGACAAUGGGCGCAAGCCUGAUCCAGCCAUACCGCGUGGGUGAAGAAGGCCUUCGGGUUGUAAAGCCCUUUUGUUGGGAAAGAAAAGCAGCAGGUUAAUACCCCGCUGUUCUGACGGUACCCAAAGAAUAAGCACCGGCUAACUUCGCGC
rnacentral:rRNA from 1 species